GCAGACACAUUCCAGCCAAUCAGCAGCAGACCCUCCCUCCCAGAUCCUCCCACCUCCUGGACAGCAUCCAUUUUACAUUCAUUGUGAAGCUGCAUUCUUAGUGAGCUGUCCAGGAGGUGGGAGGGUCUGGGAGGGAGGGUCUGCUGCUGAUUGGCUAGAAUGUGUCU